ensembl:lncRNA CD209 antigen-like protein E
CCCAUGUUCAUCACAAGAAGACGUGUCUUUGGUCUGAUGUGUGAGAUCUUCUUGAAGUCAGUGUUCUGUCUGAGGGUCCCUGAAGGCAUCAUCUCCAUCAAAGCUCUUUAUUCCACAUGUGAAAAUCGAAAAUCCUCCAAAUAAAGAGUUCACUCCAACUAGACUCAGUAAAAUCUAAAAGUCCUGUCCUCCUCAGCACCCAGCAGGAAGCCAUGAUGGAGUCACUGUGAGCAGCAGCAGUCACAUGACCAACACUCAGAGAGUCUCUGUCUGACCUGCAGAAAGAACUGUGACCAGUGAGAUGAUCAAGUGACAGGAUGGAAACACUUUAGGAUUCAAAGGGUUAAAGUUACAGCAAAUAAUUUGCAGAGUAAUCCCAGCAUGCACUGAGCAGAGUGCAGCCUGGACGGGUCAAAAAUAGAAACCUUUCAGGUUUGAACCCGGAACAGAAACCUCUGUGUGUGUGUCUUCUGUCUGUACCCACAGACUGACAGGCUGACAGCAUGGACGGACAAAUGAAGGACGAAGCAGCUUGGACGGAGACAGACGAGCAGGUCUAUGUGAACCUGCAGGAGCUGACUGGGACCCAGAGCUUCAGCCGACAGCAGGGGCCACAGGAGCCCGAGUCUGUGGCCGGACAGGAAACAGGAAGCAGCUCGCGCAUGAGAGCGGCGGCUCUCCCCCCUCUGGCUCUGCUGGGUUUCCUCCUGCUGACCGCAGUCAUCGGACUUGCAGUCGUGUACAACAGAGACUUCAACCAGCUGAGCAGGCAGCUGGCCAAUCAGACAGCAGAGAGGCUGCAGCUCCUGGACAGGUACAGGAACCUGACUGAUGAGAGGGACCAGUUAGAAAGCAGCCUGACCGCAGCUGGUGAGGAUCUCACACAGGUGUCCUCUGUUCCCUGCCUGUGAUCACAUGGUGACACUUCCUCACUGCAGGAUCGUGUCCUGAGGGAUGGAGGAGGUUCAGCUGCAGCUGUUACUUCCUGUCUGAGACUCUGCGCUCCUGGCAGGACAGCAGACAGCUGUGCCAGCAGCGGGGGGCAGAGCUGGUCAUCAUCAACAGCGGGAAAGAGAUGGUGAGGCCUGUGUGUCUGUGUGUGUGUGUGUUACAGAGUUACAGACACAGGUCUUAUGUGUGUGUGUGUGUGUGUGUUACAGACACAGGUCUUGUGUGUGUGUGUGUGUGUUACAGACACAGGUCUUAUGUGUGUGUGUGUGUUACAGACACAGGUCUUGUGUGUGUGUGUGUGUGUUACAGACACAGGUCUUGUGUGUGUGUGUGUGUGUGUGUGUGUGUUACAGACACAGGUCUUAUGUGUGUUUCUCCUUUAAGGAGUUCCUGAAAACGCUUGCAGAGGUGUUUUGGAUCGGUCUCCAUCAGUCGUCUGUUGGAGGAUCCUGGAUCUGGCCUGAUGGAAGUUCACCAAAAACCACGUAAGUUCCGUCAGACAGAGACCUGAAGCCUUAUAAUCCUGGGAACUAUUCAACAUGGACGGAGCAGGAAGUGCUAAAUGAAACUUUAACGUCUCGCUCAUAUUUGCUUUUGUGGUUUUUCAAGUUUUGAUUUAAAACAUAUUUUUAUAUACAUGUGCAUUUUUCUCUGUAAUCCUUUGACUUAAUAAUACGUUUUUUUCCUUUAAGUCAUUAAGUUAUGAUUCAAGUCAGAUUUUUGAAUGACUGUUUUUUGCUUUUAAUCUUUAAAUUUAGGCCUUUUGAGAAAAUAAGAAACUUUCUCAGUGUUAUAUUAAAUUAUUAAUAUUAAGUUAAAAACAUCGACAUUUCUUUGUCAGAGAGUUCUGACCAUGUGAAGGUUCUGUGCAGGUACUGGCGGCCUGGACAGCCAUAUCACUACAGGACUAAGAGAUGUGCAGCCUUCAGAGCUGAAAGCUGGUGGAGAACAUCUGCAUCAUGGAACAGUGAGGACUGUUAUUCAUACCUGAACUGUGUGUGUGAGAAAGACGUGUUCUAAAUGCAGUGAUGCAGCCAGGCUCUUUGGACCUGAUGAUGAAGAUGAAGAAGUGUGUUUAUCUCCACUGAAUAAAAGCCGACUUGUGUUUGAUGCUGUAUGGAGU